GGAGGGUGCGAGCGUUGUCCGGAAUCACUGGGCGUAAAGGGCGCGUAGGCGGCCGUUCAAGGGCGCGGUGAAAGCCCGGGGCUCAACCCCGGGUCGGCCGUGUCGACUGGAGGGCUCGAGCUCUGUAGGGGCGGGUGGAAUUCCGGGUGUAGCGGUGGAAUGCGUAGAGAUCCGGAAGAACACCGGUGGCGAAGGCGGCCCGCUGGGCAGGAAGACGGAGCAAUCCGUCGGCUGACGCUGAGGCGCGACAGCGUGGGGAGCAAACAGGAUUAGAUACCCUGGUAGUCCACGCCGUAAACGAUGGGCACUAGGUGCUUGGGGGAGCGACCCCCCGGGUGCCGGCGCUAACGCAUUAAGUGCCCCGCCUGGGGAGUACGGCCGCAAGGCUG
rnacentral:rRNA from 1 species